ensembl:lncRNA
CCGGCGCCCGGGCCGGGCUGUCCCGGACCCACCCGGACCCACUCGAGCCGGCAGAGACUGGGAGAGACAGAGAUGGGGAGAGACAGACAGAGCUGUAGAUGGGGAAAGUCACUUAGAAGCCGAGGGAGAGACAGAGAUGGAGAAAGAGAUGGGAGAAACCUGCAAGAGAAACGCACAGAUAAGGAAGGGCAGAGGGAAGGGGCAAAGGAAGGCAGAGCCGGAGAUCGAGACGGAAGAUGAAGGGCUCGAGUGGGAGACAGGACCAGUCGCCGGUACCCAUGGAGCACGUUCUGCCCGGCAACCAGGGCACGUAGACAAAGUCAGAGAUGCUAAGAGAGAUGGGAAUACCAGACCACCUUACCUGUCUCCUGAGAAAUCUGUAUGCAGGUCAAGAAGCAACAGUCAGAACCUUAUAUGGAACAACUGAUUAGCUCAAAAUCGGGAGAGGAAUAUGUCAAGGCUGUAUAUUGUCACUCUGCUUAUUUAACUUAUAUGCAGAGUACAUCAUGCAAAAUGCCAAAUGCCGGGCUGGAUGACUCACAACCUGGAAUCAAGAUUGUUGGGAGAAGUAUCAAUAACCUCAGAUAUGCAGAUGACACCACCUUUGUGGCAGAAACGGAAGAGGAACUAAAGAGCCUCUUGAUGAGGGUGAAAGAGGAGUGAAAAAGCUGGCUUAAAACUCAACAUUCAAAAACUAAGAUCAUGGCAUUCAGUCCCAUCACUUCAUGGCAAAUAGAUGGGGGAAAAGUGGAAACAGUGACAGAUUUUAUUUUCUUGGGCUCCAAAAGCACUGCAGAUGGUGACUACAGCCACAAAAUUAAAAAAAAAAAAAAAACAAAAAAAACAAAAAAAACACUUGCUUCUUGGAAGAAAAGCUAUGACAAACCUAGACAGCAUAUUAAAAAGCAGACACAUCACCUUGCUGACAAAGAUCCGUGCAGUCAGAGCUAUGGUUUCUCCAGUAGUCAUGGAUGGAUGUAAGUUGGACCGUAAAGAAGGCUGAGCACCAAAGAACUGAUGCUUUCAAACUGUGGUGCUGGGGAAGACUCUUGAGAGUCCCUUGGACAGGAAGGAGAUCAAACCAGUCAGUCCUAAAGGAAAUCAACCCUGAAUAUUCAGAACUGAUGCUGAAGCUGAAGCUCGAAUACUUUGGCCACCUGUUUUGAAGAGCUCACUUAGUGGAAAAGAUCCCAGUGUUGGGAAAGGUUGAAGGCAGGAGGAGAAGGGGGAGACAGAGGACAAGACGGUUGGAAUGGCAUCACCAACUCAAUGAACAUGAAUUCGAGCAAACUCCAGGAGACAGUGAAGGACAGGGAAAGGUGACAUGCUGCAGUUCAUGGGGUCACAAAGCGUGACUUACUGACUGAACAACUCAUUACCCCAAUUGAGAAAUAAAAGGUUACAAAUAUGAG